UACGCGCAUCGAAAAUUUGUAUCGCCGUGUUGAUCGCCUGAUCGAUAGUGUAUCACUUUGAAGUGCAUAUAAUUGAUUUCGUUUGCGGAGGCUUUAAACUCUUGGUGUGCAGUGCAGUGGGUGAUUUUAGAGGCUUAGGGCAAGCCCUAUAUAGCCGACAAAAUGUGCCUGCUCCAAGCAGUGAAAAGUAUGGAGUAGGGCGGUGAUUUGCAGUGAGAUCGGCCUUUCAUUCGCUGCAAAAAUUAUGUAGCGGCUUGUGAGAGCAACAUCCCAAGACGACGGCGAAUUGAAGUGGCUGGCUUGGAUCGCUGGCAGAGGCCAGCAAUCAUCUUGGGUCUGUCCGGACAGACAUGACGGUUUGCAGUCGCCGAGGGAUACAUUUUUACACUGACACACACACAUACUAAACUUUAGGUUAAGGAAAUUAAGCGUAAGUACUAAAAUACAUUUUUAUUGCAUGUAAAAUUUAUGUUUUUACUUCGAUACGGUGAUUCCGAAUAGUGUUAUUUUUUUGUUAAUGGGUCCACUAUACAGUUUGAACCUA